UGGGAUUCCUUUUGGAACACUUCCAGCUGGUAUGUAAGAAACAGCUGUCCAGACCAGAACCAUCAAUGGAACACCAUAAUCAGCUAUGAAGCCUCGCAGCGACCCUACAGAAAAAUGAAAAAGAAACAUAAUCAACUAAAGGUUUGUAAAGGCCAUGGAUCCAAUAAGGCUUACCAGACCCGUAACGCCAAGACCGUGCUUUUCUGCUUCUUAAUGCAGUAUGCAGAAGACCAAAAGCCAAAACCAAAGCAAACAUUCCAUUGGCAAAUCUCCAUGAAUACAGGUACUCGAUUGACUUUGGAUUUUCUCUUUUUGGUAUACGAAAUUCAUCAACCAGUCCCUAGCAAACCAAAUUGAAGUGUUUAGAAUUUCAAAGUUUAACCAGAAAGCAAUUUUAAGCACUCACUCAAAAAAGCAUCCUAUGAACAACAAAGAACCACUGAAAUGAAUCUCAACUAUCCAAGGACAUAAUGCAUUCAACCCAGUCAUACAAUAACUCUAGUGUACAACAAAAAUAAUUCAGAAGCUUUAAACAGCAAAAUUUUCAGUUUAUUCACGAUGUCCAUGCGAUGUAGGAAUGAGAAAGAAAUGGGGAUUUUUUUUCUUACUUUAAUGGCUUCCUGCAUGAAAAGCAUUGCAAUAAGUAGGCCAAACAAUUCCCCUGCAAUGCGAGUGAACCUAUUGAUGAUAGAGCAAGCACCUAGGACAGCCAACAAGAACAGCAAGAUUGCAGUCCAUAUGCACACCCUGCCAAGUUAAAUUUCCAAGUUAAGUGGACCAAAUAUAAGGAAGGGAGGAUUCAAAUAUUGACAGAAAUCAACAAGAUGUUUCUCAGAUAAUGACUAGGAAAUUUUCAGGAAAUACCACCCAGUCCAUGCUAGAAAGAGCUUUGGUCCCAAAUCUGUCCGACUUUUUGCAAAAUUGAACAUGAAUGUGUACA